GAUGAACGCUGGCGGCGUGCCUAAUACAUGCAAGUUGAGCGCUGAAGGUUGGUACUUGUACCGACUGGAUGAGCAGCGAACGGGUGAGUAACGCGUGGGGAAUCUGCCUUUGAGCGGGGGACAACAUUUGGAAACGAAUGCUAAUACCGCAUAAAAACUUUAAACACAAGUUUUAAGUUUGAAAGAUGCAAUUGCAUCACUCAAAGAUGAUCCCGCGUUGUAUUAGCUAGUUGGUGAGGUAAAGGCUCACCAAGGCGAUGAUACAUAGCCGACCUGAGAGGGUGAUCGGCCACAUUGGGACUGAGACACGGCCCAAACUCCUACGGGAGGCAGCAGUAGGGAAUCUUCGGCAAUGGACGAAAGUCUGACCGAGCAACGCCGCGGGAGUGAAGAAGGUUUUCGGAUCGUAAAACUCUGUUGGUAGAGAAGAACGUUGGUGAGAGUGGAAAGCUCAUCAAGUGACGGUAACUACCCAGAAAGGGACGGCUAACUACGUG
rnacentral:rRNA from 1 species